rnacentral:ncRNA from 1 species
UCUCGAUAAAGGCAAACCUGGUGAAAACCAGCGACGCAAAGCUAAAGGGGCUACGGCAAUUCAUUGCUAAGCCAGCCAGCUACCGAA